AACAGAUAAACAGUAGUCUUAAAUUGGACUUUAGCAUUUUAUAGCGCGAAGAAGAAGCUAUUAUAGUUUUAUAAAGAUGAGGGUUUUUUCUCCUCGAAAAACACUUAUUCCACAAUGUAGAUAUUGUCGGCAAUCCAGCAAAACUCGAUAGUUUUCGUUUUUUCCGUAAAUAAUUUCUACUACCAGAAAUCUCGCUCCAAUCAAAACUUUUUAUAUGAACAUUAUUGUAGCCUUUAUUGAUCAAGUCGAUACUUGCGAGUUUUUAGCUGACGAUAUGUAUAAUAUUGUAGGUUAAUAAUAUAGGUAGGCCGUUUCUUUUUGGAUAAUCCGAUCUAACGGCGGCGGUUGCAAUU